rnacentral:rRNA from 1 species
UACGUAGGGUGCAAGCGUUGUCCGGAAUUAUUGGGCGUAAAGAGCUUGUAGGCGGCUUGUCGCGUCUGCUGUGAAAUUUCGGGGCUCAACCCCCGAACUUGCAGUGGGUACGGGCAGACUAGAGUGUGGUAGGGGGAGACUGGAAUUCCUGGUGUAGCGGUGAAAUGCGCAGAUAUCAGGAGGAACACCGAUGGCGAAGGCAGGUCUCUGGGCCAUAACUGACGCUGAGAAGCGAAAGCAUGGGGAGCGAACAGG